AGUGAACGCUGGCGGUAGGCCUAACACAUGCAAGUCGAACGGCAGCACAGUAAGAGCUUGCUCUUACGGGUGGCGAGUGGCGGACGGGUGAGGAAUACAUCGGAAUCUACUUUUUCGUGGGGGAUAACGUAGGGAAACUUACGCUAAUACCGCAUACGACCUACGGGUGAAAGCAGGGGAUCUUCGGACCUUGCGCGAUUGAAUGAGCCGAUGUCGGAUUAGCUAGUUGGCGGGGUAAAGGCCCACCGAGGCGACGAUCCGUAGCUGGUCUGAGAGGAUGGUCAGCCACACUGGAACUGAGACACGGUCCAGACUCCUACGGGAGGCAGCAGUGGGGAAUAUUGGACAAUGGGCGCAAGCCUGAUCCAGCCAUACCGCGUGGGUGAAGAAGGCCUUCGGGUUGUAAAGCCCUUUUGUUGGGAAAGAAAAGCAGCAGGUUAAUACCCCGCUGUUCUGACGGUACCCAAAGAAUAAGCACCGGCUAACUUCGUG
rnacentral:rRNA from 1 species